rnacentral:misc_RNA from 1 species
GGGGAUCCCUAUGUCUCAUCCUCCACCGGGGAGGAAUAAAGUUUAGGGUUUUCUUUUCGGCACUUCUUAUUCACAGAACCACCGCCUGCGGCCGUCCGACGACGAUGCCGAAACUUUCCCUCUCUCACCUCUCUUCUCUCUUCCAGUCGUCCUCUCUCCGUCAUGGCCCUUCCUUUUCUCCCUCUCGCCUCUCUAUUUCUCCAUUCAUUGGCUCAGAUUUGCGUUCUUUCAUGUCCUCCCUCCACCGAUCAGAUCUCACUGGAUCCGUUCAACUAGACAGCCGG